rnacentral:lncRNA from 1 species
AUGGAUUUUUAUUUUUUACAUCUCAUUUUAUUAGGUAUGAAAACCACUACAAACUUUACUUCGAACACAUUUCCGAAAUAUUAACCCAUAUGCCUUUUUUAAUGCCGAACGUCUAUUGACCAAUGUAAAAAUCGUUCUGACUUCAUCACUGAAACUUAAUUAUUGGCCAGCAGUAGUGAAAUUUCCAUUAAAAAAAAAUACCUUUUGUCAUUCUAGGCUCCCUCAAACUGUUUUCUAUUCUUUUCUAUAAACUUUUGGCAACUCGACAACAUGUUCUGGGUGACGGUUUCCAGUAACACAUCCGGCCUGGCACUUAUUUCUUGGUCAGCUGCCAAAACUCCACAAAAUUAUUCACUGAUGAAGCAACUGGGGUUUGGUAAAUUAGGGAGUGCAUGUGGCCUCACAAGGAGUAGUCCAGCGGGUUUAUAUCGGGGGAUCUUUCUACCCAACUUCUCGGCCACAGAACAUGUUGUUGAGGUGCCAGAAGUUCAUAGAAAAUAAUGAAAGACAACUUGAGGGAGCCUAGAAUGACAAAAGGUAAUUUUAAUGGAAAUUUCACCUACUAC